rnacentral:rRNA from 1 species
UACAGAGGUCCCAAGCGUUACUGAGAAUCACUGGGUUUAAAGGGUGCGUAGGUGGUCCGUUAAGUCAGUUGUGAAAUCCCCGGGCUCAACUCGGGAACUGCUUCUGAUACUGGCGGACUUGAGGCCAGUAGGGGUCACUAGAACUGACGGUGGAGCGGUGAAAUGCGUAGAUAUCGUCAGGAAUGCCGGUGGUGAAGACGGGUGACUGGGCUGGUUCUGACACUGAGGCACGAAAGCGUGGGGAGCAAACAGG